GCGGAGGGUGGGGGAGGCGCGGGCGCGCGUGGAGGCGGAGGCGGCCCUCGGGGGUCCGGCAGGCCGGGCCAGGAGGCCGCGCCCGUGGUCUGUGGCUCCCGCACUUCACAGGGUACCGACCUGUGUAUUCGUUCUUUUGAUUGCAAGUGACGGAAAGCCGGCUCAAACUGACUCUCAAAGGAGGGCUUUUAUUGGCUCAUGCAACUGACAGGGUCUCAGUAGCUAAGGCGGGCCUGGAAUCCUGAUCCAUGUACCUUCACCUCCCAGGUCUGGAAUUACAGGCAAAGUGGGAGUCCUGUCUCCAUGGCGAUGGCGCAGCGUUCCAGCCACAAAAAUCUAAAGGGGCUGAGCAGACUGGAGGUGGCUGGCUUUGCUGAGGCAGCCCCUGGUUUGCUUCUGUUCCCUCCAUGCAUCCUCUGGAGCCCCCAGCUACAGACUCGCUGCCAGCCCCUGCCUGGGGUGUCAUCUACUCAGCUCUGAGAGACGCACCUCUGCUUUACCCUGCACAAGUCAGCGGAAGCUUCUUCCCGCCUCUAGCCACUCAGAAGCCAGUCAGCCCUGAAGCAGUCAAGCCCCCGCCUCCACUCGUCUGUCAAAUGCCCCACAGAUCUCAGGCUUGUCGUUAAACCCAGCGUGAACCAAAUUUGGCAAGUGCCGGCCGCAGAUGGGCAGCUCUGCUCUCUGCCAUCCGCUCCUCUGUGAACUAGCUCAGCAAACUUCCCUGAGUUACUCCAUUUUGUUCAGAGCCAUUUCAGCAGCAACUUUGCUCCA